rnacentral:misc_RNA from 1 species
GAUGAAGAACGCAGCAAAAUGCGAUAAGUAAUGUGAAUUGCAGAAUUCAGUGAAUCAUCGAAUCUUUGAACGCACAUUGCGCCCGCCAGUAUUCUGGCGGGCAUGCCUGUUCGAGCGUCAUUUCAACCCUCAAGCACAGCUUGGUGUUGGGACUCGCGUUAAUUCGCGUUCCCCAAAUUGAUUGGCGGUCACGUCGAGCUUCCAUAGCGUAGUAGUAAAACCCUCGUUACUGGUAAUCGUCGCGGCCACGCCGUUAAACCCCAACUUCUGAAUGUUGACCUCGGAUCAGGUAGGAAUACCCGCUGAACUUAAGCAUAUCAAUAGCGGAGGA